rfam:Schistosoma mansoni strain Puerto Rico chromosome 1, complete genome
AUCCAGCUGACGAGUCCCAAAGGGGACGAAACGCGUAUCGUGGAU